AUUAAUAUGAUCAUCAAGUUUCAUACAAAUUAGAAAUCAUAAUGUGGUUUCUUAUUAUUUCUAAAUAUUAGUAAUCAAUGAAUUUAACAUAACUAAACAAAAAGCUUAAAAAUGUUUAAAAAAAUGUGCAUUUUCUGUUAAUAUCAUGCUUGAAACUAUCUUAAUAACACUUUCUUAUAUUUUAAUUUGCAGUUAAACAAUUCGCUCAAGGAAUUGCUAACGCAGUUGCUAACCAAGCUCAGUAAAAGGUAGCCUUUGGAAGACUUGAAGAGUGAUCACCAUUCCAGAAACAUUUUUGAAAAAAAUGUACCUUCCAGUUAAUUUUGAAUAAAAUUGCAUUUAAAAAGUGAA